ACAAGCGGUGGAGCAUGUGGUUUAAUUUCGAUGAUACGCGAGAAACCUUACCAGGGCUUGACAUAUACAGGAAUGUUGUAGAGAUACAGCAGCCGCUUGCGGUCUGUAUACAGGUGCUGCAUGGCUGUCGUCAGCUCGUGCUGUGAAGUGUUGGGUUAAGUCCCGCAACGAGCGCAACCCUAUCAUCUGUUGCCAGCAUUUAAGGUGGGGACUCAGAUGAGACUGCCGGUGACAAACCGGAGGAAGUGGGGACGACGUCAAGUCAUCAUGGCCCUUAUGUCCUGGGCUACACACGUGCUACAAUGGCCGGUACAGAGUGAAGCGAAACCGCGAGGUGAAGCAAAACGCAGAAAGCCGGUCUCAGUACGGAUUGGAGUCUGAAACUCGACUUCAUGAAGUUGGAAUCGCUAGUAAUCGCGCAUCAGCAUGGCGCGGUGAAUACGUUCCCGGGCCUU
rnacentral:rRNA from 1 species